rnacentral:tRNA from 1 species
GGCCGAGUGGUUAAGGCGAAAGAUUAGAAAUCUUUUGGGCUUUGCCCGCGCAGGUUCGAGUCCUGC